GAACGCUGGCGGCGUGCCUAACACAUGCAAGUCAACUUGACUGAAGGAGCAAUCUGACAGUAGAGUGGCGCAAGGGUGCGUAACGCGUAAGUAACUUGCCCAAGGUAAGGAAUAACGUCGAGAAAUCGGCGCUAAUACCUCAUAAUGCAGCGGAUCCGCAUGGAUAUGUUGUUAAAGGUUUACCGCCUUGGGAUAGGCUUGCGUCUGAUUAGCUAGUUGGUGUGGUAACGGCACACCAAGGCUGCGAUCAGUAACUGGUCUGAGAGGAUGAUCAGUCACACUGGAACUGAGACACGGUCCAGACUCCUACGGGAGGCAGCAGUGAGGAAUAUUGGGCAAUGCUCGAAAGAGUGACCCAGCAACGCCGCGUGGAGGAUGAAGGUAUUCUAUAUCGUAAACUCCUGUGAGAGCAGACGAAAGACAGAUUAUUAAUCUGGAUGACUGUAUGCUCAGAGGAAGCCCCGGCUAACUACGUG
rnacentral:rRNA from 1 species